CCUACGGGAUGCAGCAGUCGAGAAUCAUUCACAAUGGGGGAAACCCUGAUGGUGCGACGCCGCGUGGGGGAAUGAAGGUCUUCGGAUUGUAAACCCCUGUCAUGUGGGAGCAAAUUAAAAAGAUAGUACCACAAGAGGAAGAGACGGCUAACUCUGUGCCAGCAGCCGCGGUAAUACAGAGGUCUCAGGCGUUGUUCGGAAUCACUGGGCGUAAGGCGUGCGUAGGCUGUUUCGUAAGUCGUGUGUGAAAGGCGCGGGCUCAACCCGCGGACGGCACAUGAUACUGCGAGACUAGAGUAAUGGAGGGGGAACCGGAAUUCUCGGUGUAGCAGUGAAAUGCGUAGAUAUCGAGAGGAACACUCGUGGCGAAGGCGGGUUCCUGGACAUUAACUGACGCUGAGGCACGAAGGCCAGGGGAGCGAAAGGGAUUAGAUACCCGUGUAGUC
rnacentral:rRNA from 1 species